GAUGAACGCUGGCGGCGUGCCUAAUACAUGCAAGUCGAGCGAACGGACGAGAAGCUUGCUUCUCUGAUGUUAGCGGCGGACGGGUGAGUAACACGUGGAUAACCUACCUAUAAGACUGGGGUAACUUCGGGAAACCGUAGCUAAUACCGGAUAAUAUUUUGAACCGCAUGGUUCAAAAGUGAAAGACGGUCUUGCUGUCACUUAUAGAUGGAUCCGCGCUGCAUUAGCUAGUUGGUAAGGUAACGGCUUACCAAGGCAACGAUGCAUAGCCGACCUGAGAGGGUGAUCGGCCACACUGGAACUGAGACACGGUCCAGACUCCUACGGGAGGCAGCAGUAGGGAAUCUUCCGCAAUGGGCGAAAGCCUGACGGAGCAACGCCGCGUGAGUGAUGAAGGUCUUCGGAUCGUAAAACUCUGUUAUUAGGGAAGAACAUAUGUGUAAGUAACUGUGCACAUCUUGACGGUACCUAAUCAGAAAGCCACGGCUAACUACGUG
rnacentral:rRNA from 1 species